rnacentral:tRNA from 1 species
UGGGUCGUGGCGCGGCAGGUGAGCGCAUUCGCGUUAUGAACGUGGAUUCGCGCACCGUUCUGUUCGGGACGAUUUCCCC